GACGAACGCUGGCGGCGUACUUAACACAUGCAAGUCGAGCGAUGAAACUUCUUCGGAAGUGGAUUAGCGGCGGACGGGUGAGUAACACGUGGGCAACCUGCCUCAUAGUGGGGAAUAGCCUCUCGAAAGGGAGAUUAAUACCGCAUAAGAUUGUAGUUCCGCAUGGAACAGCAAUUAAAGGAUUUAUUCGCUAUGAGAUGGGCCCGCGGCGCAUUAGCUAGUUGGUGAGGUAACGGCACACCAAGGCGACGAUGCGUAGCCGACCUGAGAGGGUGAUCGGCCACAUUGGGACUGAGACACGGCCCAGACUCCUACGGGAGGCAGCAGUGGGGAAUAUUGCACAAUGGGGGAAACCCUGAUGCAGCAACGCCGCGUGAGUGAUGACGGUCUUCGGAUUGUAAAGCUCUGUCUUUAGGGACGAUAAUGACGGUACCUAAGGAGGAAGCCACGGCUAACUACGUGCCAGCCGCCGCAGUAA
rnacentral:rRNA from 1 species